rnacentral:rRNA from 1 species
AGUGAACGCUGGCGGUAGGCCUAACACAUGCAAGUCGAACGGCAGCACAGUAAGAGCUUGCCCUUACGGGUGGCGAGUGGCGGACGGGUGAGGAAUACAUCGGAAUCUACUUUUUCGUGGGGGAUAACGUAGGGAAACUUACGCUAAUACCGCAUACGACCUACGGGUGAAAGCAGGGGAUCUUCGGACCUUGCGCGAUUGAAUGAGCCGAUGUCGGAUUAGCUAGUUGGCGGGGUAAAGGCCCACCAAGGCGACGAUCCGUAGCUGGUCUGAGAGGAUGAUCAGCCACACUGGAACUGAGACACGGUCCAGACUCCUACGGGAGGCAGCAGUGGGGAAUAUUGGACAAUGGGCGCAAGCCUGAUCCAGCCAUACCGCGUGGGUGAAGAAGGCCUUCGGGUUGUAAAGCCCUUUUGUUGGGAAAGAAAAGCAGCAGGUUAAUACCCCGCUAUUCUGACGGUACCCAAAGAAUAAGCACCGGCUAACUUCGUG